rnacentral:rRNA from 1 species
UACGUAGGGGGCAAGCGUUGUCCGGAUUUAUUGGGCGUAAAGAGCGUGUAAGCGGCCAGGUAGGUCUGCUGUGAAAACUCGAGGCUCAACCUCGAGACGCCGGUGGAAACCAUCAGACUAGAGUCCGGAAGAGGAGAGUGGAAUUCCUGGUGUAGCGGUGAAAUGCGCAGAUAUCAGGAAGAACACCCGUGGCUAAGGCGGCUCUCUAGUACGGUACUGACGCUGAGACGCGAAAGCGUGGGGAGCGAACAGG